UAAAUAGCCACCUAAUGGAAAGCAAAACGUGCCAAGCCAGAGCUACCAAAUACCUCUCCAAUAUUCAUAAUGAGGAAGGCCUUUCUUCUUGCUUGCGCUCUUUUGAUGUUGUUCGCUCUUCUCUUCCUUCCUUCCACCGAAGCUCGAGCACUCCUUCAAAAAGGACCGUUAGACCAGCCGCAGCCAGGAUGCGGACGACAACCUGGGGGCAGGUAUACACCGUGCCCAGUGAAACCAUCUCCGCCAACGAAGUGUGGUCUUUAUGUUCGUCAAUGCCGUCCGCCAGUUAUCCCCAAAGGGCCAUGAAUCCAGGGAGCUAAGUUAAGCUGCUCAUGACAGCAAAAUUGCACCAUAAUAUGAAGUACUUUCACGACACUGUCAUCGUGAAUAAAUAAAGAAGCUGAGUGAAGUCAGUCACUUGAUGAAGCCUUGUUUCAAUACCUAAAAACGAAUUAAGGAUGAAUACUAUGUAGAGGAUGCAACUUAAUGUAUGAAACAAUAAAGGAAUGAAUGAAUCGUCCAGUUUAUGGUAUGUAUCUUUUGAAAGGAAAAGGGAACAGCGACAGAGCUUGUCACAGGCUUCAUCUUCUCUUUCAAAUUGCAAUAUGAUGAAUUAUCUAGAUGUAAGUGUAAUGAAGUUCUUGUCUAAUCUGUGAAAGUAGCUUCCAGGAGUAA